rnacentral:rRNA from 1 species
GAUGAACGCUAGCGGCAGGCCUAAUACAUGCAAGUCGAACGGUAAGGCCCUUUCGGGGGUACACGAGUGGCGGACGGGUGCGUAACGCGUAUGCAACAUGCCUUCCAGCGGGGGAUAUACCAGGGAAACUUGGCGCAAUACCCCAUAGAAUUACGGGACCGCAUGGUCUUGUGAUUAAAACUCCGGUGCUGGGAGAUUGGCAUGCGUGACAUUAGCUAGUUGGCGGGGUAACGGCCCACCAAGGCGACGAUCUGUAGCGGGUCUGAGAGGAUGAUCCGCCACACUGGGACUGAGACACGGCCCAGACUCCUACGGGAGGCAGCAGUGGGGAAUUUUGGACAAUGGGCGCAAGCCUGAUCCAGCCAUGCCGCGUGCGGGACGAAGGCCUCGGUU